GUGAGUAGAGCUCGGUGGUAGAGCGCAUGCUUAGCAUGCCUGAGGUCCUGAGUUCAAUCUCAAGUACUUCCG
rnacentral:tRNA from 1 species